rnacentral:lncRNA from 1 species
CCAGAAAUUAAGGAAGAUACAAUUCAUGGCUGGACCAAAAAUGAUUAAAAUGCACAGAUAAUCUCUGUACAUACUAUACAAUUAAUCACAGUGGCAGUGAUGCAUACUCCAGAUGUCUUAAUGCAAAUAGUCGUCCCCAAAUGCCAGUGCAGACUGGGACAAGACCAUGAUAAAGUUUUUACUGGUGUAUCACAAAGUGAGAAAAGUAAGAAGAAUAUAAUAGUUUGUUUGAAAAGAUUUGACACAAGUUACCGGUUUGAUUCUAAAGACUUAAAGUCUUCAGGGUUCCAAGAUGAUAUCACUGAAGCAGGGCUGGAAAGGGCUGCACCGCAGACUCCCAUCAGUAUUCCCACCACAGGCCUAAAUGGCAUGGAGAGCACUCAUAUGAAGGAAUGGAGAAGAAUUAGUAG